UGGGGAAUUUUGGACAAUGGAUGGAAGUCUGAACCAGCCAUGCCGCGUGCAGGAAGAAGGCCUUAUGGGUUGUAAACUGCUUUUGCCAGGGGAUAAAAUAGCUGUGCGCAGCGAAUUGCAGGUACCUGGUGAAUAAGCCACGGCUAACUACGUGCCAGCAGCCGCGGUAAUACGUAGGUGGCAAGCGUUGUCCGGAUUUAUUGGGUUUAAAGGGUGCGUAGGCGGCCCUGUAAGUCAGUGGUGAAAUACUCCAGCUUAACUGGAGGGGUGCCAUUGAUACUGCAGGGCUUGAGUGGAGUAGAAGUAGGCGGAAUUGACGGUGUAGCGGUGAAAUGCUUAGAUAUCGUCAAGAACACCGAUAGUGAAGACAGCUUACUAUGCUUCAACUGACGCUGAGGCACGAAAGUGUGGGGAUCAAACA
rnacentral:rRNA from 1 species